rnacentral:rRNA from 1 species
CAGUGGGGAAUAUUGGACAAUGGGCGAAAGCCUGAUCCAGCCAUGCCGCGUGUGUGAAGAAGGUCUUCGGAUUGUAAAGCACUUUAAGUUGGGAGGAAGGGCAGUAAGUUAAUACCUUGCUGUUUUGACGUUACCAACAGAAUAAGCACCGGCUAACUUCGUGCCAGCAGCCGCGGUAAUACGAAGGGUGCAAGCGUUAAUCGGAAUUACUGGGCGUAAAGCGCGCGUAGGUGGUUCAGCAAGUUGGAUGUGAAAUCCCCGGGCUCAACCUGGGAACUGCAUCCAAAACUACUGAGCUAGAGUACGGUAGAGGGUGGUGGAAUUUCCUGUGUAGCGGUGAAAUGCGUAGAUAUA